AUGAAGCAUUUCGUGCUUGUUCAUGGUGCUGGUCACGGAGCAUGGUGUUGGUACAAGCUAGCAACCACUGACCGCCGCUGGUCAAAACGUCACAGCCCUAGACCUCCCUGGAUCAGGCAGAUACCUAACGGAGGUACAACAAAUCCGCUCCAUCGCAGACUAUUCCGAGCCAUUGAUCAAGCUCAUGGAGUCUCUGCCACCGCAGGAUAGGGUUAUCCUAGUAGGUCACAGCUUGGGUGGUCUUCCCCUAUCUCUUGUCAUGGAGAGGUUCCCCAGUAAAAUUGCUGCUGCAGUUUUUGCCACCGCUGACAUGCCUGCUCCAAAUCUCAGUUUGGCCACUAUAUCUGAAGAGUUUGGUAAAGAUACAGAUUUUAUGGACACUAAAUAUAGAUUUGAUGAUGGAUCCGGCAGACCUGCAACUGCAGUGUUCUUCGGGCCGAAGUUUUUGGCGUCAAAAUUAUACCAACUAUCGCCGCCAGAGUUUGCUAUGUCUCACAGAUGUAAACUAAUGAUAAAGUCCAAUUUAGUCUUACAGAUGAUCACCAAAAAUCCACCGGAUGAAGUCAAGGUGAUUAAAGGUUCUGAUCAUAUGGUCAUGUUCUCUAGACUACUGGAGUUGUUCUCCAGCCUCCUUCAGAUUGCUCAAAUACAUCUUUGA